rnacentral:rRNA from 1 species
CCUACGGGAGGCAGCAGUGAGGAAUAUUGGUCAAUGGACGCAAGUCUGAACCAGCCAUACCGCGUGCAGGAAGACGGCUCUAUGAGUUGUAAACUGCUUUUGUACGAGGGUAAACGCAGAUACGCGUAUCUGUCUGAAAGUAUCGUACGAAUAAGGAUCGGCUAACUCCGUGCCAGCAGCCGCGGUAAUACGGAGGAUUCAAGCGUUAUCCGGAUUUAUUGGGUUUAAAGGGUGCGUAGGCGGUCGGAUAAGUUAGAGGUGAAAUCCCGAGGCUCAACUUCGGAAUUGCCUCUGAUACUGUUCGGCUAGAGAGUAGUUGCGGUAGGCGGAAUGUAUGGUGUAGCAGUGAAAUGCUUAGAGAUCAUACAGAACACCGAUUGCGAAGGCAGCUUACCAAGCUACUUCUGACGUUGAGGCACGAAAGCGUGGGGAGCAAACAGGAUUAGAUACCCUGGUAGUC